GGAAUUUUCCGCAAUGGGCGAAAGUCUGACGGAGCGACGCUGCGUGAAGGAUGACGGCCUGCGGGUUGUAAACUUCUUUUCUCGAAGAAGAAGCUCUGACGGUAUUCGAGGAAUAAGCAUCGGCUAACUCCGUGCCAGCAGCCGCGGUAAUACGGAGGAUGCAAGUGUUAUUCGGAAUGAUUGGGCGUAAAGCGUCUGUAGGCUGUAUAGAAAGUCUUUUGUUAAAUGCCUCGGCUCAACCGAGAUCCAGCAAAGGAAACUUCUAUACUUGAGGGAAGUAGAGGUACAGAGAAUUCCCGGUGGAGCGGUGAAAUGCGUAGAUAUCGGGAGGAACACCAAUAUGGCGAAGGCACUGUACUGGGCUUUACCUGACACUCAGAGACGAAAGCUAAAGGAGUGAUUAGGAUUAGAUACCCCAGUAGUC
rnacentral:rRNA from 1 species